AGGCCUGAAAAUGCUGACAAGGAGUUACCUCAUUCUAAUCGCUGGAUCUCCCUAACACAAGAAUCAGAAGACCCAACCAUGAUUUAUUCAUGUUAUUAUGCACACAUAUUCCCAUCCCCAAAGCCACCUGGUCACACAUCCCUGCACUGCUUCCUACUCACCUCGUCACUCUGUACAAAUCCCUCGGUCUCUCUCUGCCUCAAUCUCCUCAUCUGUACAAUGAGGAAAUGAACAGUGCCUAACUCAAAUACAGGUGCACAGGUACCGUUAAUGUUUCUAAAGUAUGUAAAAACUGCCCAGGGCACAACUAUGAAAGUGGUUUUUUUUACAUGAAAAUAUUAUAAUUAAGUAUUUAAAAUGCAUGAUAAGGAGUUCCUGUUGGGGCUCAGCAGGUUAAGAAUCCUCCAUAGCGUCCCUGAGGAUGCAGGUUUGAUCCUUGGCCUUGCUCAGCAGGUUAAGGAUCCUGCAUUGCUGCAAGCUGUGGCGUAGGUCACAGAUGUGGCUCAGAUAUAGUGUUGCUGUGUCUAUGGCAUAGGUUCUAAUUCGAUCCCUUCCCUGAGAACUUCCAUAUACCAUAGGUGCAGCCCUAAAAAGAAAACAAAAUUUUUUUAAAAAAUGCAUAGGAGUGUAUAAUACACAGUGAGCACUCUGCUAGGUGUUGGGGACUUAUUACUAAAACAACAACAACAGCAUGAAAAACCCAUCAGAGACAGGAAGAGCAGCACCCCACCCCCGCCAAAGCCGCAGGAAAUAGGUCACUUUUUAAAAUUUUACUUUUGAGUUCCUGUUUAUUAAACCCCUGUUUCAUUGGGACCACUGUGACAGCCAUGAAGGAGGCAGAGAGAAGAGUCAGCACUUUGGUGCUCUGAGAACUCUGUCUGGUUGGGGAGGGAAAGUGAGAUAUAAUUGUAAGAUAAUAUAGGUGAGGUAAUACAUUGAGACACAGUAUAAUAUGUCCCCACUGAGAGACGCAAGUCACAGCUUGAGUCUGAGGCUUGGAGGUAGCGAAGACUGCAGGGCAGAUGGCGUGAGCUGUGUUCUAGGUGAGGCAGGCUGGCUGGGGUCGGGGUUGUGAGACACUGGACACAGAGGAAGAGAAGGGAGCCCUUGGGGCCUGGUGAGGAGCAUGGUAAGCAGGGAGGUCAAUGCCACAUCAUGUCUGGUCAGGAAGGGCUCUCUGGGUUGGGGUAAAACAAUAUAGGUACUACCUUGAAAGAGAAAAAGAAGCCAUCGGAACAUUUUCCCUCAGGGAGUGGUUCGAUCAGACAGGUAGGGAUUUUAAUUGAUAAGCUAGUCUUCUUCCAUAUAGAGGAAAGGCUGGUGGAAGGCUGAACCAGAAAAACCUGAAAUCCCAGACUGUCGAGGCUCCGCUGAAAGAUGACAAGCCUCGAGCUGCAUCACCUUGAGAACAUUGUGGAAGUAGAGCUGGAUAUGAAAGCAGUAUUAGCAGGAGGCCUAUAGCCAUCCUGACCCGGUUACACUGGAAUGGGGUGUGAAUUGAGGGGAAAGUAUGAAAAUGAGGAUUCGCAUACUGUUGCAGUGUCUUAUCUGGCUUUUCUAAAUCUUGAAGAGGAAACACGCAUGUCUUUCUGAAACAUUCAUGCCACCUUGAGACGUUGUGAACUAGAUUUUCUUCCUGGUUCUAUUUGCUGCCAUCCUCCUAGGUCCCAGGGUGUGGACCUAAUUUUAUCUUGGCACUUUGGGUAAGGUUUUGAUUUUCUUUGGCCCUUUUCUUAAAGCAGAGAUGUUUGAGCAGAGCCUGAGAGGAUCAUUAGAGAUCAUCUAACGAAGUGGUGGCAGAAAAUUGUUUAUCUCAUAUGCCAUCAGCAAAGUCUUAAUAGUGGCCGCUUGGAGUGCUGUAUUGACAAAGAAUGUGAGUCCCACAUGGUUUGGUGGAAAAAUGACAAGAUCGAGUCAAGAUGCCCAUCAUGGGUGCAGCCGGGUAGAGCAGAAGCACACAUGCUUCAUAUAUCCAUUUCUAGAAUAAAGAAUCCAAGCCCAUAGCAUUGAUGGACUUGACAAUGAUCAUUGAUGGACUUGACAAUGAUCAUUGAUGUAGCCUGGAGCAUAGUUGCAAAGAAAACCACAUCACGUGGCUUUCAGUGCUGAGUAAUUAUUCAUUUCUUUUAUCAUAUUUACCCAGGGUGACUACAUGUCUAGAGCACCUUUUCUUGUGUUCUUGUUUUUAGGAGUUCCUGUCGUGGCUUGGUGGUUAACCAAUCCGACUAGGAACCAUAAGAUUGUGGGUUUGAUUCCUGGCCUUGCUCAGUGGGUUAAGGAUCUGGCUUUGCUGUGAGCUCUGGUGUACGUUGCAGAUGCGACUUGGAUCCCACGUUGCUGUGGCCAGCGGCUACAGCUCCAAUUGGACCCCUAGCCUGGGAACCUCCAUAUGCCGCAGGAGCCACCUAGAAGUGGCAAAAAGACAAAAAAAAAGACAAAAAAAAAAAAAAAGAAAAAAGAAAAACAGUCCAGAAAGAGUUCAUGGGAUGGAAUGUGUUUCUAAUUAAAAGUAUGUGCACAGACAGGGAAGCUCUUCUUCAUGAAGGUGUACUUUAUCUCGACCUGUAAUCUUCCUGCCCCAAGGAUUCUCCUGACUUGAGGAUAAGCCAUCAGGCACCAUAGUUAAUUGGGUUUGAGACAGCCUCCCAAAUGUCAUGUGCACAUUCAGAGAAACCGAGAAUUCUAACUUCUAUAGAUAAAGAACUUCAGCCAGUCCUAAAAUAUGGCAAACCGGGACAAAGAUGUGAGGAUAUGAGCGUGGGCUUGGGAAGGGGAGUAGUAUAAAUAGAGGAUCAGGCAUAUUUUAGGGUGGCAGCCACUGGAGAAGAGGGAAGUGUCUCUCCCAGCUGGCGCAGAACUGAUCCUAUGUCUUCCCUCCCCAGCUUCCAAACGCUUCUCUAUGUCAUGGCAAAUAGCGAGACUAUUUGUCAUAUAUUUCCCUCAGCUUGCCCUUUUGUGACUUCUUUCCUCCCUUCAAAUAUCCCCAAUGUUAAUUUCAUCUUUGUGUUAAAUGGUAAUAAAUGACCCCUCCAAAAAUAUGGUGUUUAUUUCCCCAAUUGCUCAUCCCUCCUUAUUGAUUUAAAAUGGAAUAAUGAUAAACUACAAAUUUGUGGAGUUCCUGUUGUGGCUCAGCAGGUUAAUAACGCAAAAUAAUAUCUGUGAGGAUGUGGGUUUGAUCCCUGGUCUUAUUCAGUACGUUAAGGAUCCAGCGUUGCUGCAAGCUGCAGUGUAGGUCACUGGUGCUGCUCGGAAGGGGACCUGACAUUGCCAUGGCUGUGGUAUAGGCCUACAGCUGCAGCUCCUAUUUGACCCCUAGCCCCAGAACUUCCAUAUGCCCCAAGUGUAGCCCUAAAAAGAAAAAAGAAAAAAAAACAAUAACAAAACCCCCAAAAUUUGCAAAUAAAAAGAAACAUUCAUUUCUUUCUUUCUUUCUUUUUUUUUUUUUUGUCUUUUCCAGGGCCGCACUCACGGCAUGGGAGGUUCCCAGGCUAGGGGUCUAAUCAGAGCUGUAGCCACUGACCUACACCACAGUUCACAGUUCACAGCAAUGCCAGAUCCUUAACCCACUGAGCAAGGCCAGAGAUCGAACCCACAACCUUGUGGCUCCUAGUUGGAUUUGUUAACCACUGAGCCACAACGGGAGCUCCAAAACAGUCAUUUCUAAUGGUAAGAAUGCUGACGGCAUAAUGAUUAACAAUGAAAACAAAUACAACUGUAACAGCAUCGCCUUAUAGAACCACUCAAUGUUUUACAAAUUUUAAUUUUUUGUUGGUGUAAUUUCUAAGCUAAACCGCAUCCAUUUUUUUUUUACCUUGAAAACCUGUAUCAUAGAAAACCCCAAAGAUGACCACUUUAAAUUUCAGUUAGGCAGUGAAUAAAAAUUUUAGGCAGCCACGUUUCCUUGAAGUGCCGGCCUGACUAAGGUUAGUGCAUAAGAUCAACUUCUGUGAAUGGUUAUGACUCCAGACUGUUCUAUUAUCAUUUUGACUUAUAUUUUCAUGCAUAGUUAUUUCGAUAGUCUCUGAAAUCAGUGCGUUUGUAGUGGAAUCAUGAAGUCACCAGAUAUAGAAGUGAAUUCACAAAUGCAUUUUCUUCACCUGUCUUUACACCUAAUUGAAAACUGCCUUAGGACAUGAAGCUUCCCAAGCAGGGUGACAUGUAGCCAUGGGAAAGGCAUCUGGAGCCAAGAAAGAAAUCAUUUUGAUUGGGGCCGAGAUUAAGUAUUUGGUUAGUUUAACAGAAGAAGUAAUAUUUCCUAAGUUUGUACUUCCUACAAAAAUGUAAGUAAGAAGUAAGCUUUCAAUGAGAAUUAGGGGUUUUCAAAAAUGAGCAAAAGCAAUUGUCUAUAGGGGAUUCAAAAGCAAUUUAUAUGCAGCUUUCCCAACACCAAAUAGCUUUGGUAAAAACAGCAUUUCUUUUUAUUCACUUUCUUUAAGUAUGCAGGUUAUUAAUACAUUUUCAAAUUAAUAGUUUGGAAAUUUUCAUACCCUUCUAACUAUGAGUCAAUAGUACAUCUCUACCUGCAAGAGUGACUUGAUGCAUUCAUUUUACUACAAUGAAAGUGUCAUUUAUAAAGCCAUUAGAACAGAACCUUAAAAUUAACAUUGUGACCCUACAAGGAAACAUUAAAUGGGUUGAAAAGUAAUGGUCUUGAAAAGGAAAGGCCUGCCUUUAGAGCACAAGUUAAAAGAGAAAGAAAAAAAAGGAAAAAAAAAAAAAAAAA
rnacentral:lncRNA from 1 species